CAGCCGCCACGGGAAUACGUAGGUGGCAAGCGUUGUCCGGAAUUAUUGGGCGUAAAGGGCUCGCAGGCGGUUUCUUAAGUCUGAUGUGAAAGCCCCCGGCUCAACCGGGGAGGGUCAUUGGAAACUGGGAAACUUGAGUGCAGAAGAGGAGAGUGGAAUUCCACGUGUAGCGGUGAAAUGCGUAGAGAUGUGGAGGAACACCAGUGGCGAAGGCGACUCUCUGGUAUGUAACUGACGCUGAGGAGCGAAAGCGUGGGGAGCGAACAGGAUUAGAUACCCCUGUAGUCCCUGUCUCUUAACA
rnacentral:rRNA from 1 species